rnacentral:rRNA from 1 species
ACGUACACUCCUACGGGAGGCAGCAGUGGGGAAUUUUGGACAAUGGGCGAAAGCCUGAUCCAGCCAUGCCGCGUGCAGGAUGAAGGCCUUCGGGUUGUAAACUGCUUUUGUACGGAACGAAACGGCCUUUUCUAAUAAAGAGGGCUAAUGACGGUACCGUAAGAAUAAGCACCGGCUAACUACGUGCCAGCAGCCGCGGUAAUACGUAGGGUGCAAGCGUUAAUCGGAAUUACUGGGCGUAAAGCGUGCGCAGGCGGUUAUGUAAGACAGUUGUGAAAUCCCCGGGCUCAACCUGGGAACUGCAUCUGUGACUGCAUAGCUAGAGUACGGUAGAGGGGGAUGGAAUUCCGCGUGUAGCAGUGAAAUGCGUAGAUAUGCGGAGGAACACCGAUGGCGAAGGCAAUCCCCUGGACCUGUACUGACGCUCAUGCACGAAAGCGUGGGGAGCAAACAGGAUUAGAAACCCCAGUAGUCC